rnacentral:rRNA from 1 species
AGAGUUUGAUCCUGGCUCAGAAUGAACGCUGGCGGCGUGCCUAACACAUGCAAGUCGGAUGUGCCGCAAGGUGCAUGGCAGACGGGUGAGUAACGCGUGGGCAAUCUACCUUUUAGUGGGGAAUAACGAUCCGAAAGGAUUGGUAAUACCGCAUGUGAUCAUCGACUGGGAUGUUGGUGAUGAAAGCCGGGGACCGCAAGGCCUGGCGCUAGGAGAGGAGCCCGCGUCUGAUUAGUUAGUUGGUGGGGUAACGGCCUACCAAGACAUCGAUCAGUAGCCGGCCUGAGAGGGUGAUCGGCCACACUGGAACUGAGACACGGUCCAGACUCCUACGGGAGGCAGCAGUGGGGAAUUUUGCGCAAUGGACGAAAGUCUGACGCAGCAACGCCGCGUGGGUGAUGAAGGUCUUCGGAUCGUAAAACCCUGUCGUCGGGGACGAAGGUGGGCUUGUUAAUAGCGAGUUUACUUGACGGUACCCGGAGAGGAAGCCCCGGCUAACUCUGUGCCAGCAGCCGCGGUAAUACAGAGGGGGCAAGCGUUAUUCGGAAUUAUUGGGCGUAAAGGGUGCGUAGGCGGUCGUUUAAGUAGGAUGUGUAAUCCCCGGGCUUAACCUGGGAACUGCAUCCUAGACUGGACGACUUGAGUACUGGAGAGGGUGGUAGAAUUCCACGUGUAGCGGUGAAAUGCGUAGAGAUGUGGAGGAAUACCAGUGGCGAAGGCGGCCACCUGGACAGUAACUGACGCUGAGGCACGAAAGUGUGGGUAGCAAACAGGAUUAGAUACCCUGGUAGUCC